CAACCCUCGAGCCCCCCGUGGCCCGGCGUUGGGGAUCUGCCACGGCAGGCCCCGAAAUACAGCGGCGGACCCGCUGGGCCCUCUCCUUGCGUAGUAACAUCAGUCUCGCAUCGGGAGCCCGCGUGGCAUCCGGCCCCUAAACCCCCCGCAAGCCCGCCCCGCGCGGCACCAAGG
rnacentral:misc_RNA from 1 species